AGAGUUUGAUCCUGGCUCAGGAUGAACGCUGGCGGCGUGCCUAACACAUGCAAGUCGAACGGAUCUCCCUUACAGACUAUUUAUAUACAAGUACCUGGCGGAUGAGUGAGUAACGGGUGAAUAACCUGCCGACUACCUGGCGAUAACACUUGGAAAUCGGUGCUAAUCCCCUGUGAACACCCCACUCCCCCUGGAGGCCUGUGAAAACCUCCGGUGGAAUCCAAAGGAUCCGCGUCUGAUUAGGCUAGUUGGCGGGGUAACGGCCCACCAAGCCCACGAUCAGUAGCCGGCCUGAGAGGGCGGACGGCCACAUUGGGACUGAGACACGGCCCAGACUCCUGCGGGAGGCAGCAGUGGGGAAUAUUGCACAAUGGGGGGAACCCUGAUGCAGCGACGCCGCGUGAAGGAAGAAGUAUCUCGGUAUGUAAAGUUCUAUCAGCAGGGAAGAUAAAGGACGUUCCUUGAUUAGGAAGCCCGGGUUAAUUACGUGCCACCAGCCGCGUUAAUACGUAGGGGCCAAGCUUUUUCCGGUUUUAUUGGGUGUAAAGGGAGGGUAGACGCCCAUCCAAUCUGGAUGUGAAAGCCGGGGCCCCACCCCGCAGAUUGCUUUGAAAAUUGUAGGGUUGGAGUGCGGGAGGGGCAGGCGGAUUUCUUGGUGUAGCGGUGAAAUGGGUAGAUAUCAGGAGGACCCCCGGUGGGGAAGGCGGCUUGUUGGCCGUAGACUGACGUUGAGGUUGGAAAGCUUGGGGACAAACCAGGAUUAGAUCCCUUGGUAUUCCACCCCGUAAACGAUGUUAUAUCAGGGUGUUUGGGGGCACCAAGGAGUCCCGGUGCCGUAGCAAACGCCAUUAAAGUUAUUCCACCUGGGGAGUACGUUGGCAAGAGUGAAAUUCAAGGGAAUUGACGGGGACCCGCACCAAGCGGUGGAGCAUGUGGUUUAAUCCGAAGCAACGCGAAGAACCUUACCUGCUCUUGAACAUCCCGCUGACGGCGGGAGUAACGUCCCCUUCCCUUCGGGACACCGGAGACAGGUGGUGCAUGGUUGUCGUCAGCUCGUGUCGUAAGAUGUUGGGUUAAGUCCCGCAACGAGCGCAACCCCUGUUUCCAGUAGCCAGCAUGAAGGAGUGGGCACUCUGGAGAGGACUGCCGGGGGACAACCGGGAGGAAGGCGGGGAUGACGUCAAAUCAUCAUGCCCCUUAUGGCCUGGGCUACACACGUGCUACAAUGGCGCACACAAAGGGAGGCGAAGGGGUGACCUCAAGCAAAUCCCAGAAAAGGUGUCCCAGUUCGGAUCGCAGCCUGCAACCCGGCUGCGUGAAGCUGGAAUCGCUAGUAAUCGCGGAUCAGAAUGCCGCGGUGAAUACGUUCCCGGGUCUUGCACACACCGCCCGUCA
rnacentral:rRNA from 1 species